rnacentral:rRNA from 1 species
UACGUAGGGUGCAAGCGUUGUCCGGAAUUAUUGGGCGUAAAGAGCUCGUAGGCGGUCUGUCGCGUCGGCUGUGAAAACCCGAGGCUCAACCUCGGGCCUGCAGUCGAUACGGGCAAACUGGAGUGUUGCAGGGGAGACUGGAAUUCCUGGUGUAGCGGUGAAAUGCGCAGAUAUCAGGAGGAACACCGGUGGCGAAGGCAGGUCUCUGGGCAUUAACUGACGCUGGGGAGCGAAAGCAUGGGGAGCGAACAGG